rnacentral:rRNA from 1 species
GACGAACGCUGGCGGCGUGCUUAACACAUGCAAGUCGAACGGACAGGCCCUGCUUUUGUGGGGUGCUCGAGUGGCGAACGGGUGAGUAACACGUGAGUAACCUGCCCCUGACUUUCGGAUAACUUCAGGAAACUUGGGCUCAUACCGGAUAGGAGCUCUUGCUGCAUGGUGUGGGUUGGAAAGUUUCGGCGGUUGGGGAUGGACUCGCGGCUUAUCAGCUUGUUUGUGGAGUAGUGGCUUACCAAGGCUUUGACGGGUAGCCGGCCUGAGAGGGUGACCGGCCACAUUGGGACUGAGAGAGGGCCCAGAACAGUACGGGAGGCAGCAGUGGGGAAUAUGGCACAGUGGACGGAAGCCAGAUGCAGAACCUCAGCGUGCGGGAUGACUGCAUAUGAGUUGUAAACCGCUUUCGAAUGUGACGAGGAGUGAGUGACGGUAAUGGGUAAAGAAGCACCGGCUAACUACGUG